rnacentral:rRNA from 1 species
UACGGAGGGUGCAAGCGUUGUCCGGAAUCACUGGGCGUAAAGGGUGCGUAGGCGGCUUGGUAAGUCACUUGUGAAAUCCCGUUGCUCAACGACGGGGCCGCAGGUGAGACUGCCUGGCUAGAGCUUGGUAGGGGCGAGUGGAAUUCCCGGUGUAGCGGUGGAAUGCGUAGAGAUCGGGAAGAACACCGGUGGCGAAGGCGGCUCGCUGGGCCAAUGCUGACGCUGAUGCACGAAAGCGUGGGGAGCAAACAGG